rnacentral:rRNA from 1 species
UGCAACCGCAAGCGACCUGCUGCCGUCCACGCCACGACGGCUCAACAUCAACAAUCGCCGACGCGCUGCAAGAGGAGCCGCGCCUUCAUCGGAAGCACCGACGACUACGUGGAGGUGAACUCCCUAGGCCAAGGCGGCUUCGGCGUCGUCCUCAGGUUGCGCCACAAAGUCACCAAGAAGGACCUAGCCGUCAAGUUCCUCUCCUCGCCGGACGAAACCGAGGAGGGCCCCGACGUCGAAGAUCUUUAUCGGGAGGCACGGUUCCUCGAGGCCUGCAAAGGAAAUCCUUACGUAGUCGGCUUCGAGGGCCUGGUGCACAACCUGGACACAGGCGACGUCGGCCUCGCCAUGGAGUACCCACCGUACAACCAGGCCGGCACGGCGCCCUACAUGGCGCCCGAGAUGAUCAUGGGCAAGCGGGACUACGACGCGCUCGUGGACACGUGGUCCAUCGGCUGCGUCUUUGCCGAACUGCUCACCGGCAAGACCUUGUUCGCGUGCGACGGGCAAGAUGACGACGACGACGACAAGAUAAAGGUUGACAUAUACCAGCUGUGGAGCAUCUUCCGAGUGCUCGGGGUGCCGGACGAGAGGACGUGGCCAGGCUUCACGUCGCUGCCGCACACCACCGAGGCGCUGCGACUGCUACCGGCGGGGCACAACCAUAGCCGGCUGCGGGAUUUGUUCCCUGAAGAGAAGCUGUCCGAGGAAGGAUUCCAGGUGUUGCAAGGGCUCCUCACGUGCAACCCCGACAAGCGACUGACGGCAGCCGCCGCGCUGAAGCACCCAUGGUUUGCAGCUCCUCGUUCCACCGCCGCCGCCGCCGGUGCGAAGGUCGACGCUCUGUCGCCGGCGAUGCCAGAGAAGGAUGUACUCAAAAUUCCACUG